AGAGUUUGAUCCUGGCUCAGAUGAGGGGGGGGGGGCAUGCCCUUCCCCAUGCAAGUCGAACGGCAGCACGGGGGCAACCCUGGUGGCGAGUGGCGAACGGGUGAGUAAUACAUCGGAACGUGUCCUGGAGUGGGGGAUAGCUCGGCGAAAGCCGGAUUAAUACCGCAUACGCUCUAAGGAGGAAAGCGGGGGAUCUUCGGACCUCGCGCUCAAGGGGCGGCCGAUGGCGGAUUAGCUAGUUGGUGGGGUAAAGGCCUACCAAGGCGACGAUCCGUAGCUGGUCUGAGAGGACGACCAGCCACACUGGGACUGAGACACGGCCCAGACUCCUACGGGAGGCAGCAGUGGGGAAUUUUGGACAAUGGGGGAAACCCUGAUCCAGCAAUGCCGCGUGUGUGAAGAAGGCCUUCGGGUUGUAAAGCACUUUUGUUCGGGAAGA
rnacentral:rRNA from 1 species